rnacentral:rRNA from 1 species
AAGGAAGUUCCGCGCACUGGCAAAGUCUGAUGCAGCGACCAAGUGCGGAUGUGAAGAUAUUCGCGCCUUUCAUCGUGCAUCCGCUCGCGAGCGUGGAUUUUGAUGCACAGAUCCCCAAAAAGGGCGACCAACGCCA